rnacentral:lncRNA from 1 species
UCGUUGUAAGUAGAUUCUCUUAUCGGCAUGGAAAUGUUUAACCUUGCAGGAGCAACUUGAGUGGGAAAUAAAAGACAGGCGUGUUGUCUUCCAGAAGGCAAAGGAAUCUGCGCCUUGCAAAGAGAUACCGUCUCUGCAACUCAUCAACCAGACUCUCAGCUACGCUCGAGAAUUGGAGAGGAUUGUUUAGUUGAGCUUAGCUACUGCUACUUUCCCUGCAGACACUCCCCCUUUCAUAUGUUGUUUGUUUCAUGUAGUACUGGGAUUCUUCAGCUUGUUUGCUAACUUCAAAAUUUUAUCUGGCAUCGUUUAUCUUAUUUGCGUAUUGCUUUAUGCCGAAAAAAUUGAGAAGCAUUCUAUCAAUGGCCCGUUACAGUCCAGAUUCGAUGCUGGCAAAAAAAAGCUAUCAGCAGUUCAGAAUUCAUAUGUGAAUACACACUAAACUAAUGUGCUCAAAAGCCAAGAUCAAAACUUGGAAGUUCCUCGCUGUCUGUAAACAGCGGUUGAGAACUAUUGCUUUCGCCAUCUCUAGUCUCGGAGGUUGGGAGGAAAUGUUCGUCACUGGUUUUGGUGGCUGUUUCUUGCAUUUCCAGAUCAUACUUCUGCACCAUGAAUUGGAAAAUGAUUUGCUUAACAUAACAUAAAGAGAAGAUGAGAACCAAAUCAGUACCAAAACGCAAAAGUAUUUCUAGAAGUGCAGACCUGACAGUGCCACUAGAGGACC